AGAGAUACGGAUACUGCUGCAUCAUUUGCUCCUCUGAUUCCCAAGUAGCUUCUUCUACUUGAUGACUUCUCCACAGCACCUUGACAAGCGGAAUUGUCUUGUUCCUAAGCACUUGCUCCUUUCGGUCGAGAAUCUGAACCGGUUCCUCUUCAUAGGUCAACUCUCUCGUCAAACUGAUCGGCUGCUCUUGCAGCACAUGAGAAGGAUCGGCAAUAUACUUGCGAAGCAUGGAUACAUGAAACACCUUAUGUAUCCUAGCUAACUCUGGAGGCAAGGCCAAUCGAUAAGCAAGUGAGCCAACUCGCUCUAUAAUCUCAUAAGGGCCAAUAUACCUCGGGCUAAGCUUCCCACGCUUACCGAAACGCACAAUCCCUUUCCAAGGAGAUAAUUUCAGGAACACCCAAUCACCCACUUGAAAUUCAAGAUCUCUCCUACGGACAUCCGCAUAACUUUUCUGCCUACUCUGAGCAGUCUUGAGUCUAUCUCUAACCACUUUAAUCUUCUCAUUCGUAACAUGGAUUAACUCUGGGCCACAAAGCUCUUUUUCCCCUACUUCAUUCCAACACAAAGGUGUGCGACACUGCCUCCCAUAAAGAGCCUCAAAGGGAGCCAUACCAAUGCUAGAAUGAUAGCUAUUAUUAUAAACAAAUUUCAUCAACGAUAGGUUUUUAUCCCAACUCCCUCUGAACUGCAAGGCACAAGCCCUCAACAUAUCCUCCAAAGUCUGAAUAGUCCUCUCGGACUGCCCAUCAGUCUGAGGAUGAAAAGCAGUGCUGAAGAGUAAUUGGGUACCUAAAGCUGCCUGAAGAGCUCCCCAGAAUUUAGAAGCAAAUCGAGGAUCCUGAUCUGACACUAUUGAUUCAGGAACACCAUGAAGCCUCACAAUUUCAUUCACAUAAAGCUCCGCCAAUUUAUCCAAUUUAUACUUCUUUCCCACUGGCAAGAAAUUUGCAGACUUGGUGAGUCUAUCCACAAUCACCCAAAACUAGCCUCACAUGAAAACUAGCCUCACAUGAAAACUAGCUAUCAAAGCACCAACCUCAUCUACUGAUAAAUCCACUCCUGUAGCUCGCAACUCACAAAGAAGCGGAACACGAACCAUCUUUAUAUGAGAUAAAGAUAUGGAGGGAUUUCGAUGAAGAGCAUCAGCUACCACAUUAGCUUUUCCAGGAUGAUACUCAAUAGUGCAAUCGUAAUCAUUGAUUAACUCCAUCCACCUUCUCUGUCUCAUAUUUAGCUCCCUUUGAGUGAACACAUACCGAAGACUCUUGUGAUCGGUAAAAAUCUGACACUUGGCUCCAUAAAGAUAGUGUCUCCACAACUUGAGAGCAAAAACUACCGCUGCAAGCUCCAGAUCAUGAGUAGGAUAAUUCCCCUCAUGCGGCUUCAAUUUCCUAGAAGCGUAGGCAAUAACUCGAUCAUGCUGCAUCAAAACUCCACCUAGACCACGUCUAGAAGCAUCACAAUAGACCACAUACUCUCCACUAUCAUCCGGAAGUGCCAAAACAGGAGCACUUGUUAAGCAAUUCUUCAAUUCUUGGAAAUUUGCUCACAUUGAUCUGACCAUUCAAACUUAACCCCCUUCCUGGUCAAUCUUGUAAGAGGAGCAGCAAUCUUUGAAAAAUCUUUCACAAAGCGCCGAUAAUAACCUGCUAAUCCCAAGAAACUACGAAUCUCCGUCACAGUGGUGGGUCUUUUCCAAUUCGACACUGCUUCCACCUUUUGGGGAUCCACACUAACUUCUUCUGCCGAAAUCACAUGACCCAAAAACCCUACUUUAUCUAGCCAAAACUCACACUUGCUAAACUUAGCAAAUAACUGCUAAUUUUCCAAAGUCCGCAAUAUUAUUCUUAGAUGCUUGGCAUGCUCCUUCUCACUUCUUGAGUAAACCAAUAUGUCAUCUAUGAAUACGAUCACGAAACGAUCAAGGUAUGGACUAAACACCCUAUUCAUGAGAUCCAUGAACGCCGCGGGUGCAUUAGUAAGUCCAAAUGGCAUCACCACAAACUCAUAAUAACCAUAUCGUGACCGAAAAGCAGUCUUGGCUAUGUCCCCCUCUCGGAUCCGCAACUGAUGAUAACCCGAUCUCAAAUCAAUCUUAGAGAAAACAGAGGCACCCCUCAACUGAUCAAAUAAAUCAUCGAUCCGAGGCAACGAAUAUUUAUUCUUCACUGUGACCUGAUUCAACUUCCUAUAAUCAAUGCAUAGUCUCAUGGUGCCAUCUUUCUUCUUAACAAACAACACUGGAGCACCCCAUGGAGACAUGUUAGGCCGAAUAAAACCCUUAUCUACCAACUCCUACAAUUGAGUCUUCAACUCUUUCAAUUCCGCUGGAGCCAUUCUGUAAGGUGCCUGAGAGAUAGGCAUAGUUCCAGAAAGUAAUUCGAUAGAGAAGUCUAUCUCCCUUGUAGGAGGCAAACCAGGCAACUCCUCAGGAAAAACAUCCGGAAACUCCCUUACUAUAGGAAUAUCUUCUAAUCCCACAACUCCCAUACUUGUAUCCACCACAUGAGCUAAAUAUGCCUGACAGCCUUUACUCAACAAUUUCCUUGCAGCAACAGCGGAAAUUAUGCAACUAGAAAUAACAUAUCUUUCCCCUUGGAAAGCAACCUCAAAACCAUCUGGACUUCGAAGCACCACUACUUUUUGAAAACAAUCUACCAUAACUCUAUAUGCUUCCAAAAAGUCUAUUCCCAAGAUCACAUCAAACUCCACUAUAUCUAAAGCUAUUAAAUCAGCCUCGAAAUUAACUCCUUCCACUAAAACUUCAUAACCACUAAAUACCCAAUUUAUUCUCAUCACCUCACCGGAGGGUAGAGACACAUGUCACUCGCCUGGAAGAGACGAUGAUGGCACAUUGGCAUGGAGGGCAAAUCUACUAGACAUGAAUGAAUGCGUGGCUCCGGGAUCAAUUAAAGUAAAAGCAGGCUGACCAAAAAUUAAUAACGUACCAAUGAUGACAUCUGGAGAAGUACGACCCUCCUGCUGGGUCAUAGCAUGCAGUCUAGCGCGAGUCAUGGGACGUCCACGCUGACCACUUCCCCGCUGAGAGCCACCUCUGACCGAAGCACUGCCCUGGGCACCACUAGUAGAGCCUCUAGCUGAAGACUGACCAACUGGCUGAGUAGGGGUGGGGGUCGUCCUCUGAGCCAAUAAUGAACAAUCUCUCCUGAAGUGGUCCUGACUACCACACUCAAAGCACCCAGAAAACUGCUGCUGCCCAUAAGAAAAAGUCUGGCUUCCGGAUGACCCACCAUGGAAGCUACCACCAGAAUCAUACUGCCCAGACUGCUGCCUACCCAACUGACUCCUAGCAGGUCUCUUGUGACGUCCUCUAACCCUGAACCAAGAAUUAGAACCCGAUCCCCCACUACUGCCACUACCAGCUGAAGAACCAGAAGCGGAUGAUGAUGCAGCUUUCUUGGAUGGACCCUGACUGGGGCCACCGAAAUCUCGUGGCCGAACACUAUAAAUCCCCAUAGACCCAAUGGCCAUGGCUGCAUGAACAGUAUCAAGAAAAGUCGGGUAAUAAACACCCGUCAUCUUACCUACAAACACUCCACCAAGUGCCCCAAUGAACAUCUCCAUCCUGGUCCUCUCAUCAGGAACCAGAUAUAACACAUGGUAGCUCAGGGAAGUGAAUCUCUCCUGGAACUCUAUAACACCCUCAUCAUCCCUCUUCUUCAUAUUCAGGAAAUCUGACUGUAUUCUGCUGCGGUGGGCAGGACUGAAAUACUGCCCCAAGAAAAGCGUCUUAAACUGCUCCCACGACAUAUUCAGAGCAUCCUCAACAUUCUUGCUAGCGAGCGACCACCAGUGAUAUGCUGAAUCAUCCAGGAAAGUCACUGCCAUCUUCACCUUCCUUUCUUCUAGCAAAUCUGUGCUCGCAAAAGCCUUUUCCAUUUUGUCUGCCCAAGUAUAAGCAUCAAGGGGUCCCUUGGCACCCUUGAACUCUCUUGCUCCAGCCUCAUAAACUUCUCUCCUCUUCACUGUAUGAGGGUGUGGAGCUAGAUCUAUAACAUCCCUCAGCAUAUUUCCAAUAUCAUCAAUCAGUCCCCUGACCUCAUUGUCCUCAUCGGCAUUAGUCGAAGUAGCCACACGGGGUUGCCGUGGGCGCCUAGGAGGCAUAGUACCUGAGGAAGAAGAAAUUUAGUAGUCCAUAAACAAGACUAACACAACUAUCACACAUACCCAAUAACACAUAGCAUCAAAAGCAUAAACUAUCAAUGAAUCCGCCGCGGUCGGAUCAUCACUCUAUAGACACUACGUGCUACUUAGGCAAAUAUGAUAAUGACAAGGAAGCAGGAAAAGGAAACCUAAAGCUCUGAUACCAACUGACACGACCCGCCCCAAAUUUCACCUUGAAACCCGGAGUAAGUCGUGCGGGGACCAUCUCCAAGGAAAAUUUUACCGAAAAGAUUGGUAAAACCUCCCUUGAAAAUGGACAACCCUAACUCAAAAAUUUCAAAUUUACACUCUUACUACAACACGUUCAAACUUCACAUAAAUAUCCAGCUAAUAAAAGGAAACAUUAUCCUUCAGAAAUUCUAAACAUCAAAUCAACAGGUCGAGCACACCACCGAAAUAAUAUACAACAAUCCCAAAGUAUCCAGAGCUACUAGACUCUAGCGGAAGCAAGAAAACACGAGUAGGUUGAACAGGUAACCUACUGAGGAAAACUGGCGGAAAAAUGGGUGACUAUGCUUCGUCUCCUACUAGAUCCAACCCGAACUCUGCAGACUGGGCAUUUUAAAACAAAGGGCUCAGGGGAAAAACAUUUAAUAACGUUAGAGUGAGUGGACAAAAAUAAAUUAAUAAGAAAAAUAUUUAUGUUUCCCCAAAUCCAUUUCUAAGGAAAAAAUCGAAUGCAUGCCGCAAGCGAUAAAAUAUCGAGCCUCUCACACUCUAUAAUAUAUGUAUGUAUUUAUACACGUCCAUACUCCCUAUAUAAAUUCAUGGGUGUAUAUAGGGCUACUACGCUCGAGUCCAACGCUCACGUCACGCCUUAAUGCGGUGCUACACUACGCCAUUAAGGUGGACAGAUGGGUGUAUAAAUAUGUGUCCAUACCCCCUAUGUAAAUUAAACACUCAUAUAGGGCUACUACGCUCACGUCCAACGCUCACGUCACACCAAAAUGCGGCUAUAUGCUACGCCAUUAAAGUGGACAGACACAUAUGGCUAGCUAGCAUUUAUAUACAUACUCUCCUCAUAAAUACAUAUUUAUAUCCAUCGAAAAUCUCAUUUUCGGUAACUCUCCAAGAGAAAUAAAAAUCGUCAAAUUAAAAUGACAUCAAAAUAUUCCGCAACAUUUAUUGUUCAACCAUGAACUAUAGCAUGCAUUUAUUUAAAAUAAACGUCCACUCACAAAUUUGGCCUAAGCCUGAUGUCGAUCUGGGGUCUCAUCUGCUCGAGCCUCCUCACGUCCUGUUCCAAAUAUAAUAUUAAUUUCCCACUAAAAAUCCAAUAAUUAAAUAAAAUUGGCAAAAUUAAACGUGAGCCUCUCACACACCCAUCAUUGCCCAUCUACGCCAUUCUUAACUCAAAAUGGCUCAACCUUCACCGAACAUACCGCAGCCGUAAAUACAACCUCCCCCAAAAUACGACUUAAAUCCUACGGCCGGAUUCUAUAUUAUUUAACCACCAAAAAUACCACACUUCGGAAAUUCAUAAACCUAUCCAAAACUCAUCCAAAAAUUCCAUAACUCACUUCAAUAAACUCCCCUUAAUAUUCCAAAUUUAACAACAUUAAAAAUCUCCCAAACAGCUCCGGCGACCUCCAAAUUCUAUGAAAAUUUGACAGCAUAAUCCUCUUAUCAUGCUCUACAACUUCCCUAACUACCACAAACCCAAAAUCCAAGCCUAGCUAGGGUAAUCGACUAAAAACAUCCUAAAAGCCCUAGAAAUUUCAACUCCACAUUUCUCCUUACCUAGCUCAAGAGAGAGUGAGCUCUUUGGAGGGGUUGCUGCACGGGAGGAGGGCUACAAAAUGAGCUAAGGAUCGUCAGCUGUGGUGGCCGGAGGAGGGAGUUCCGGCGACGUGAAGCUUUGGACAGUCGAACCUUUCGGGGGAGAGUGCUCCUUCACGGCGGAGCUAGGGCGGUUGUCACCGAUCCAGGGAGGUAGCUGGGUCGGAGGCCGUCAGUUUGGGACCGGAGCGGCGGCAGAUGGUGGCCGGACGGCGGCAGGAGGACGGCCGGAAAACCGGGCAGCGGGAGGAAGAAUUCGGGGGAAAGAAAAUCGGGAGAAGAGAGAGAAGUGAGUGUGUGGGUAUUGGGCCCCUCCCACACCCGGUCCAAACCCAUAUAAAUCAACCCACUCCAAAAUAAAACACCCCGAAAAAAUAAUACCCUAAUAAAAUUACCUUUUACUAGCUAAAAUUUACCAUUUUUACCGUCGUCGUAUUUUCCUCCUACGAAUAAUCCUCCGCCCAUAAUCGUCCCCGAAACCCCUCUAGGAACCAAUUAAACUAUUAUCUCAAUGACGGAGACGGUAAAAUUCUUAUUAUAAUCAAGCUAGUAAAUAAGGUAAAAAUUUAAGGGUCGGGAUGUGACAGUUACGCCUUGAAGUGGCUGAUGGAAAAAAGAGUAGCAAAGACAUGGAGAAAAACUUAUUCAACUUUGGACCUUAGACUUAAGAACAAACCUAGCUAAUCACUGCCUUCCAUUUCCACAAAACAGGAAGAUAGACGGAUCAAACUCACCAAGUAGGGCUAUAUACUAACACGGAUCAAAACUCAUUUGGUGUACUAAUCUUAAAUAACUCAUUAAGUUCCUUGUCCUUGGCCUUCUCUUCCUCCUUCUUUUUCUGUCAAUUAUUCCAAUGUCAUAAACAAGACUUCUUUCAGUAGCUUAGUUAGGAACUGAAACCCAAAAGUAAGCAUGCUGGCCAAAAUCUAACCAUUAGGUCUUUUCGGUCCAGCAAAGAUGCACAUUAUAACACAAGAGUCAGCCAAUAACCAAAUUUUAUUCUUUUAAUUGAGUGUGUACUGAUUACUAAAUCUUAAACCCUCUAAUGUUGUCCUCUCUGAUUUCUGCCAGAAAUCCUAUAUGGCUAAUCUUCCAUCUUUUCUAUCUAUUCAGUUUCCUAAUACUCCUACUAUCUAAACUCUAAAGUCAAACAUCUCAUCACCACAAUCAACCUUUUUCCUACUUCAAUACAAAGGCCCUUUCAUCUCAUUCGUCUACGGCUACUGUAAUGUACCUUGAAGUCCAUAUUGACAGAUUCUUCCGCCCAUC
rnacentral:lncRNA from 1 species